rnacentral:rRNA from 1 species
UGAGGAAUAUUGGACAAUGGAUGGAAAUCUGAUCCAGCCAUGCCGCGUGCAGGAAGACGGCCCUAUGGGUUGUAAACUGCUUUUGUAUGGGAGCAAUAAGGACUACGUGUAGUUUGAUGAGAGUACCAUACGAAUAAGCAUCGGCUAACUCCGUGCCAGCAGCCGCGGUAAUACGGAGGAUGCGAGCGUUAUCCGGAUUUAUUGGGUUUAAAGGGUGCGUAGGCGGCGAUAUAAGUCAGUGGUGAAAUAUUUCGGCUUAACCGAGAGACUGCCAUUGAUACUGUGUUGCUAGAAUAUGGUUGCUGUGAGUGGAAUGUGUGGUGUAGCGGUGAAAUGCUUAGAUAUCACACAGAAUAUCGAUUGCGAAGGCAGCUCACAAAGCCAUUAUUGACGCCGAGGCACGAAAGUGUGGGGAUCAAACG